rnacentral:rRNA from 1 species
GAUGAACGCUGGCGGCGUGCCUAAUACAUGCAAGUCGAGCGAACGGACGAGGAGCUUGCUUCUCUGAUGUUAGCGGCGGACGGGUGAGUAACACGUGGAUAACCUACCUAUAAGACUGGGAUAACUUCGGGAAACCGGAGCUAAUACCGGAUAAUAUUUUGAACCGCAUGGUUCAAAAGUGAAAGACGGUCUUGCUGUCACUUAUAGAUGGAUCCGCGCUGCAUUAGCUAGUUGGUAAGGUAACGGCUUACCAAGGCAACGAUGCAUAGCCGACCUGAGAGGGUGAUCGGCCACACUGGAACUGAGACACGGUCCAGACUCCUACGGGAGGCAGCAGUAGGGAAUCUUCCGCAAUGGGCGAAAGCCUGACGGAGCAACGCCGCGUGAGUGAUGAAGGUCUUCGGAUCGUAAAACUCUGUUAUUAGGGAAGAACAUAUGUGUAAGUAACUGUGCACAUCUUGACGGUACCUAAUCAGAAAGCCACGGCUAACUACGUGCCAGCAGCCGCGGUAAUACGUAAGUGGGCAGCGUUAUCCGGAAAUUAUGGGGCGUAAAGCGCGCGUAGCGGUUUUUUUAAGUCUGAUGUGAAAGCCCACGGCUCAACCGUGGAGGGUCAUUGGAAACUGGAAAACUUGAGUGCAGAAGAGGAAAGUGGAAUUCCAUGUGUAGCGGUGAAAUGCGCAGAGAUAUGGAGGAACACCAGUGGCGAAGGCGACUUUCUGGUCUGUAACUGACGCUGAUGUGCGAAAGCGUGGGGAUCAAACAGGAUUAGAUACCCUGGUAGUCCACGCCGUAAACGAUGAGUGCUAAGUGUUAGGGGGUUUCCGCCCCUUAGUGCUGCAGCUAACGCAUUAAGCACUCCGCCUGGGGAGUACGACCGCAAGGUUGAAACUCAAAGGAAUUGACGGGGACCCGCACAAGCGGUGGAGCAUGUGGUUUAAUUCGAAGCAACGCGAAGAACCUUACCAAAUCUUGACAUCCCUUGACAACUCUAGAGAUAGAGCCUUCCCCUUCGGGGGACAAAGUGACAGGUGGUGCAUGGUUGUCGUCAGCUCGUGUCGUGAGAUGUUGGGUUAAGUCCCGCAACGAGCGCAACCCUUAAGCUUAGUUGCCAUCAUUAAGUUGGGCACUCUAAGUUGACUGCCGGUGACAAACCGGAGGAAGGUGGGGAUGACGUCAAAUCAUCAUGCCCCUUAUGAUUUGGGCUACACACGUGCUACAAUGGACAAUACAAAGGGCAGCGAAACCGCGAGGUCAAGCAAAUCCCAUAAAGUUGUUCUCAGUUCGGAUUGUAGUCUGCAACUCGACUACAUGAAGUUGGAAUCGCUAGUAAUCGUAGAUCAGCAUGCUACGGUGAAUACGUUCCCGGGUCU